AGCUGAUGAAGUUAAACCAGGAACAGCUCUUGGUCUGUAAAGAGAGCUGAGUUGGUAAAGAAAAAUGGUCGACAGCAUUUUAUAAACUUACUGUGUGGACGUCUGCUUUCAAACAUGAGACAUGUUCAGUGUUUUGUUGUUAAUUUAUCAGCAGAUUAUAAAAAAAUUACAUCAUGUGGAUUUAAUUACUUUCUAUUUUAGCACAAAGCACAUGUACUACUGAUAUGUAUUUUGAUUUAGUAUUUAUGGGCUGCAUAUUAUUAGUUUUCAUUUUGUCAUUUAUUUUCAACUCUUCUUUAAGUUUGCUACAGUAUGUUUGAGCUUUAGUACCCAGGUGAUUAUAGUCAGCGUCUUUUUCAGAGUUAAAUGAGAAAGAUCAAGUUCAACAGUUACUUUAUGUCAUGAUCUGCUAUCGAACAACAUAUCCUCACAUGUAAAUGUUUUUCUCUUCAAAAAUAUAUUUGUGAAAGUU